AUUGAACGCUGGCGGCAGGCCUAACACAUGCAAGUCGAACGGUAGCACAGAGAGCUUGCUCUCGGGUGACGAGUGGCGGACGGGUGAGUAACGUCUGGGAAACUGCCCGAUGGAGGGGGAUAACUACUGGAAACGGUAGCUAAUACCGCAUAACGUCGCAAGACCAAAGUGGGGGACCUUCGGGCCUCACACCAUCGGAUGUGCCCAGAUGGGAUUAGCUAGUAGGUGGGGUAAUGGCUCACCUAGGCGACGAUCCCUAGCUGGUCUGAGAGGAUGACCAGCCACACUGGAACUGGGACACGGUCCAGACUCCUACGGGAGGCAGCAGUGGGGAAUAUUGCACAAUGGGCGCAAGCCUGAUGCAGCCAUGCCGCGUGUAUGAAGAAGGCCUUCGGGUUGUAAAGUACUUUCAGCGGGGAGGAAGGCGGUGAAGUUAAUAACUUCACUGAUUGACGUUACCCGCAGAAGAAGCACCGGCUAACUCCGUGCCAGCCGCCGCCGUAA
rnacentral:rRNA from 1 species